ensembl:lncRNA
CAAAUCUUUAUGGCAUCAUUUUACCUUCAUACUAUAGUGAUCAUUACACAACAACAACUGUGAGAUAUUACUGUGAAAGAGGUUCGCUCAGUGUUUCUGUGUUUUGCGUUUAUCCACAGAUAGCAUAAUAUGUUUGCAGAUAUUUAAGAAACAUGCUAAGUUAACAUACUUGUUUAUCUGAAAAACAGUGCUAGUCAGUUAUUCUCCUUUGAAAAUGUGUGAUGAGGGCCAGAAUGUCGAUCAUUGUUUUGGUUUUUUAAACCCGCCCACUGCCAGUUUACCCAGUUGUACUUCGGUUGCCAGUUGGUGGAAAGUACAGCUUAUUUAAUUCAUUAUCAAGUGCCUGUUUGUGUCGUCAAUCUGGCAACCUCAUGUGCCAAGUCUGAGGAGGAGGGACCGGGCGAAAAAAAUCCCUCUAUUUUGAAUUUGGACUGCAAUACCUAGAUCAACCACUCGGUGUCAAUCCUACAUACAGCACCUUUAAUAUCCUAAUGAUCCUAAAGAAAAAUGGAUAAUUUUGACCCAUACAAUGUAUUGUUGGCUAUUGUUACAAAUAUACCUGUGCUACUUAUGACUGCGUUUGUGCUGCAGGGACACAUACUGUAUGUGUUAAAGGCAAGAAUAUUUUGAUUCUAUGUUUCAUCUCAUCACAUGACUCUGUGUGUGUGUGUGCCUACUUAACCAUAUUUUGGGGACAAAUUUGUACCCAAAAGUGAGCUAAACCUGACAAAAUCUCCAAAACCUCCCUUUGGGGAUGUCCUCAUUUGUAAACUGGUAUAAAAAUAAAGUAAACAAAGUUAUUUCAAAAUUUAAAAAAUGCAGAAAGUUUCCUGUGAGGGCUAGGUUUAGGUGUAGGGUUAGUGAAGGGAGAUAGAAUAUACAGAUUGUACAGUAUAAAAACCAUUACACCUAUGGAAGGUCCCCAUUUAGAUAGCUAAGUAAAUGUGUGUGUGGUCAGCGUGUCCCAGUCAGGUGCUCUAUCAUGUUAACGGUCUCUUGUGUGCCAGAGUGUGAAGGUAUCAGCGACUGCCCCAACAGACUGGAUGAGAGAAAUUGCGACUGUGGACUGAGGCUGUUCAGCAGUCGUGUGGUGGGCGGGGCUGAUGCUGUGGAGGGGGAGUGGCCAUGGCAGGCAAGUCUGCAGAUCAGUGUGCGGCACAUAUGUGGGUGGUGUCUGCGGCUCACUGCUUCUAUAAGGACAGGUGAGCGUCUGUGUCUGUCUGUGUCUCAGUGGCCUUGUUUGCACUGUCAGUUAAAUGUGAACCAAUUCUGAUUUUUUUUCUCAUAUUUGACAGAUCAGAGGUGUUCUAUAACCGUAUAAACAGGAAAAAAACAUGCGUUUGGAUAUUUCAAGAUCGGUUUCCAGGCCUCAUUCAUAUGUGGAAAUAAAUCAGCUAUGUGCCAAUGUGACUCAUGUAAACAGGCAGAUCGGAUUUUCUGUGGCAUUGUGUUCUGUAUGUCAUUAAAACUUCUCAUGUCUGCGGGUUGAAGCAAGCCCAAUAAUGUGAUAUUUAGCUCCCAGAAUACAAAUUGUACUGGGGAACCCCUAGAAAAAAUUUAUUUUACCCCCCAGAAUGCGAUUUUUCCUGAGGGACCCACCUUGAAAUGCGAUUGGGCUAGUUUCGAGUAAAAAUUUUGUGGGUUUUGUUGUGAAAACCUGGCAACCCUGGGAGGCAGUAAAUGACAACAAUGUAACAACAUGGAGGAGGAAUGGAGUAAACACAUAAAUCAGAUAUGGGUCACAACUGAAAGAACGUGUAAAUGAAUGGUUAAAAAAAAAUCAGAUAUGUGACUCUGGAGCACAAAAGCAGUAAUAAGUAGCACAGGUAUAUUUGUAGCAAUAGACAACAAUACAUUGCAUAAGUCAAAAUUAUCCAUUUUUCUUUUAUGCCAAAAAUCAUUAGGAUAUUAAGUAAAGAUCAUGUUCUAUGUAGAUAUUUUGUAAAUUCACUACCGUAAAUAUAUCAAAACUUAAUUUUUGAUUAGUAAUAUGCAUUGCUAAGAACUUUAUAUGGACAACUUUAAAUUUUGUGAUUUUGUCAGUACGUGGCUCUGCUGCAUCUGCUGAGGCCGGUGUGGCCAGGGACUCCGUCCGGUCUGUCUGUCGCCACGGAGGAGGUGUGAGUUGUUGUGCUGGGUCACUAGAGGGAGGUGUGAGCUGCUGCUGAUGAGCCGCUCUUCCUUGGAGGGAAACCCUAAGGUUGUGGGUUUGAGUCUCAGCAAUACCACGACUGAGGUGCCCUUGAGCAAGGCACCAAACCCCCGACUGCUCCCCAGACGCUGCAGCAUAAAUGGGUGUGUGUUCACGGUGUGUGUGUGUGUUCACUGCUGUGUGUGUGCACUUUGGAUGGGUUAAAUGCAGAGCACGAAUUCUGAGAAUUGGUCACCACAUUUGGUUGUAUGUCACUUCACUUUACUUUUAAAAUGAAUAGUUCUGACUCCAAAUCUGAUGGAGUGUAGAGACUACAGGCACAUUGCACACUGUCAACUUUUGUCCAAAAUUGAUUGAUUGGCUGUUGAAAUGUGGGUGUGGCUCUCAGACGAGCGAGAGCUUGAUGGGUGGAGUUUAAGAGCACUAAAUAAUUGGAGAAAUCCUGCAUAAGUCACCAGAGAGAAGACUGACGAUUCCCUGAAAGAUGUAGUUAGGAGAAUUUGAUUAACAAUAAUGGGCCCAAAAAGGGUAAAAAUAUAUUCAUAGAAUUAUAACACACAUUUUGAAAACAAAUAGAGUGAAUGGAGACUCCCUGCGGUUUUCCACCAAAACAAAAGCUCUGUGGUUUAACAUUUAAAAGCAAAUCAAUUAAGACAGCCAUUGGCUAGUAUUUUAAAGUCACUGUUCUAGUUCUGCAAAAUGAAAUUAUUAAAUGCUCAUUUUUUAUUUUAUUGUACAAUAGUAUUAUUACUGUAGUAAUAUCGUCUCAGGUUACGAAUGUACGAGACACUGCAUCCUCUAGGGGUCGCUAUUGGGGAACGCCUUGUCGUGACCCGUGUCUGAAGCAUACUAUGGAAAAACACCAACAUGUUGGCCGGCGAUAGCCCCUGAUGUCACCACCGGUGCAACUAUCGAAUAAAUAGGCACUGGGAGAACACGUCAUUCACUUCUUCGUCUGAAACUUGUGUCCAAAGCAUGGCAGGAAAGCUAGAGGAUGCAGUGUCUCGUUCCCUACUCAGGGAACCAUGGUUACAAUACGUAACCUGAGACGUUCCCUUUCAAGGGAACUUCAAACUGUGUCCUAUAGGGGUCGCUAUGGGCAACAGUAUACCCAUGCCACCAUGCUGAGGGGAGUGCAGGCCAGAACCAUGGUGAGUACUAAGUACCAACUCUACCAUUUCCAUGUGAGUUGCCCCUGGGACGUUAGACAGCUGUCUGUGACAUUAUCCCUUACGGCCAAAGGCCUAGGCUACAUACCCAACUUACCUGUAGGGCCAACUCUGGCCUGGGGGCUCGCUUGUCGAUAGUUCUAAGGAACGCCAAGACCCUAGUAGCAAAACCCUGUUUAAAUAGGUAUCCUGAGAAAACAUAGGUGGAGCGGCACCCAAGAUGAAUGGGGCUUACCAGCUCAAGAAAGGGCACAAAGGAACUGCGCGAAGCCCUCAUUAAUAGGAUAGAAAGAACACAGAGAACUAGCAUGCGAACCUACCACAGUGUGGAUUUUAGAAAGUGCGCAAAGACUUCACGUGCACACUUACCAUAACAUGGAUUUUUAAGACACUGUUCUAAGGAGCUCUCGUGGUACUCUGAAAGAGCAGCUCAUAGAUGGAAUGGUGCAUCCCAAAAACAAUAUGUUUGAG